CCUACGGGAGGCAGCAGUGAGGAAUAUUGGUCAAUGGACGAGAGUCUGAACCAGCCAAGUAGCGUGAAGGAUGACGGCCCUAUGGGUUGUAAACUUCUUUUAUAAAGGAAUAAAACGAGGCACGUGUGCCUUUUUGCAUGGACGUUAGGAAUAAGGAUCGGCUAACUCCGUGCCAGCAGCCGCGGUAAUACGGAGGAUCCGAGCUUUAUCCGGCUUUAUUGGGUUUAAAGGGAGGGUAGAGGGGUUGUUAAGUCAGUUGUGAAAGUUUGCGGCUCAACCGUAAAAUUGCAAUUGAUACUGGCAGUCUUGCGUCCAGUUGAGGUAGGCGGAAUUCGUGGUGUAUCG
rnacentral:rRNA from 1 species